rnacentral:lncRNA from 1 species
UUUCUUCAUUCUCUGCUGAUAUAACUGACCAUGGCACAUGGCAGUUAAGCGCUUCUCUUCGAUCAAAUUCAGCUGGUCAUAACGACUCUGAAUCCAUUCAGCGUCAGUCAACUAGGGACUUGAGGGUAUAAUUUUUCUUUUUUCCUUUUGGAAAAAAUAUUUGGAAAAAUUUUCCUGAUUUUUGAUUUUUUCAUCUUUUUCACCCUCUUCUUUUUUUUUUU